rnacentral:miRNA from 1 species
UGAGGCAGGAGAAUUGCUUGAACCCAGGAGGCGGAGGUUGCAGUGAGCUGAGAUUGCACCACUGCACUCCAGCCUGGGUGACAGAGGUUCCAUCUCAAAAAAAAAAAA